CGGGGAUAAACACCCUGGGAAACAGAUGCUAAUACCCGGGAUAACAACAGAUGAUGCCCUAUCAACUGUUUUAAAAAAGAUGGUUCUGCUAUCACUCUUGGGAUGGGACCCUGCGGUGCAUUAGCUAGUUGGUAGGGUAACGGCCUACCAAGGCGAUGAUGCAUAGCCGAGUUGAGAGACUGAUCGGCCACAUUGGGACUGAGACACGGCCCCAAACUCCUACGGGAGGCAGCAGUAGGGAAUCUUCCACAAUGGACGCAAGUCUGAUGGAGCAACGCCGCGUGAGUGAAGAAGGGUUUCGGCUCGUAAAGCUCUGUUGUUGGUGAAGAAGGACAGGGGUAGUAACUGACCUUUGUUUGACGGUAAUCAAUUAGAAAGUCACGGCUAACUACGUGCCAGCAGCCGCGGUAAU
rnacentral:rRNA from 1 species